GAUCAAGCGAAUAAGGGCACGAGGUGGAUGCCUAGGCACAGGACGGCGAAGAAGGACGUGGCAAGCUGCGAAAAGCCAUGGGGAGCUGCAAGCGAGCGUUGAUCCAUGGAUAUCCGAAUGGGGGAACCCGGCCGGGGUAAAGCCCGGUCAUCGAUUGGCUGAACAGAUAGGCUGAUCGAGGCGAACCAGGGGAACUGAAACAUCUAAGUACCCUGAGGAAGAGGAAACAAACGUGAUUCCCUGAGUAGCGGCGAGCGAAAGGGGAUUAGCCCAAACCGUGAGGGCGUGACAGGCUGUAGCCGUUGUUCUUGCGGGGUUGUAGGGGUGUACUGGAGGGAUCUACAGAUUCUUCGGUUGAUCGUGUGUGGUGAGUCGAAGUACGCUGGAAAGCGUUGCCGCAGAAGGUGAGAGCCCUGUAGGCGAAGCGACACACGGGAGCUGGGUACGCAACCUGAGUAAGCCGGGACACGAGAAAUCCUGGUUGAAUCUGGCAGGACCAUCUGCCAAGGCGAAAUACGAUCCUGUGACCGAUAGUGAACUAGUACCGUGAGGGAAAGGUGAAAAGCACGCCGGGAGGCGAGUGAAAUAGACCCUGAAACCACGUGCCUACAAGCGGUAGGAGGAGGGGCCGGUUCUUCGGAAGCGGCCAUCUCUGACUGCGUGCCUUUUGCAUUAUGAUCCGGCGAGUUCGACCUAGCUGGCAAGGUUAAGCCGUUCAGCGGCGGAGCCGAAGCGAAAGCGAGUCUGAAUAGGGCGUCAGAGUCGGUUGGGCGAAGACCCGAAACCAGAGUGAUCUAUCCAUGGCCAGGCUGAAGCGGGGGUAAUGCCUCGUGGAGGGCCGAACCGUUGUGGGUUGAAAACCGCUCGGAUGAGCUGUGGAUAGGGGUGAAAGGCCAAUCAAACCUGGAGAUAGCUGGUUCUCCCCGAAAGAUAUUUAGGUAUCGCCUCUGAGUGUAGACUGCGGGAGGUAGAGCACUGGAUGGGCUAGGGCCCUUACCGGGGUACCAACCCCAACCAAACUCCGAAUGCCCGUGAGUUGGUCUCAGGGAGGCAGGGCGUGGGCGAUAAUGUUCAUGCGCGAGAGGGAAACAACCCAGACCUUCGGCUAAGGUCCCCAAGUACAAGCUAAGUGAGUAAGGAUGUGAAUCUGCGUGGACAACUGGGAGGUUGGCUUAGAAGCAGCCAUUCCUUGAAAGAGUGCGUAAUAGCUCACUGGUCAAG
rnacentral:rRNA from 1 species